UCCCUGGUAGUAUAUCGGUUAGUACACGCGCCUGUCAUCAUCACCGAAUUGCAGUUCCGCGCGAAAGCUGGGUUCGACUCCCAGCCAGGGAG